CAUUUGUAAAAUGUGUAAAAUUGUUAUACAGUGUUUUGUUUUCAAAGAAAUAUGCUACCAGCUGGGAUUCUGGUAGAAAUGUUUAAAAAUGCUAUAUUUUUUUGCUAGAGGACUUUGAAAACAACAUAUACAGACACAAAAUAAUAAGUCACCCUUGAAAUAAUUUUUUGUGAAUUUUAAUGGAGAUACCAAGUCAAGAGACAAGAUGAACAGAAUAAAAUAUAGUUCCUCUGAAAAUUCUUUCUAUAAACUAUGUAGCAUGACAACAAUGAGUAAAAAGGAUUCUGGGAUUUUUUUUAUUGACACUUGACCUUAUAGUCCUAUUUACAGACUUGCAGAGGCUUGGUCUGUAAACAUAAUGCUAAUGGAACUUCUUCAUCAACAUUGACCUGUCUAUGUCACAUAACAAAAGGCAC